rnacentral:tRNA from 1 species
ACACCUGUGACGCAGUGGCUAGCGUGUCGUUCUUAUACUUCUUCCUCGCCCGAGGAUUAGUAUGGCGGGUAUCCGCUCCUACAGGGAAUGCGAAAGUCGAGAGUUCGACCCUCUCCAGGUGUA